rnacentral:rRNA from 1 species
GAUGAACGCUGGCGGCGUGCCUAAUACAUGCAAGUCGAGCGAACGGACGAGAAGCUUGCUUUUCUGAUGUUAGCGGCGGACGGGUGAGUAACACGUGGAUAACCUACCUAUAAGACUGGGAUAACUUCGGGAAACCGGAGCUAAUACCGGAUAAUAUUUUGAACCGCAUGGUUCAAAAGUGAAAGACGGUCUUGCUGUCACUUAUAGAUGGAUCCGCGCUGCAUUAGCUAGUUGGUAAGGUAACGGCUUACCAAGGCAACGAUGCAUAGCCGACCUGAGAGGAUGAUCAGCCACACUGGAACUGAGACACGGUCCAGACUCCUACGGGAGGCAGCAGUAGGGAAUCUUCCGCAAUGGGCGAAAGCCUGACGGAGCAACGCCGCGUGAGUGAUGAAGGUCUUCGGAUCGUAAAACUCUGUUAGUAGGGAAGAACAUAUGUGUAAGUAACUGUGCACAUCUUGACGGUACCUAAUCAGAAAGCCACGGCUAACUACGUG